AAUACCAAUGCCCUAUUUUGCAUUUCUACAGAAAGGCAUUCAGAUAUGCAAUAAAAUAUAAUAACUUAAAAAAACGCUUGAUCUCGCCACAAAGUUUCAAGAUGCUCAGCAGUGCUCGCUAACAAAGGGGUGAGCAAGUUGCUGACUGAGUGGAGAUGAGCCAUUGGUUUCCCUGCUACAAGUCAAAAUGUUUGUUCCUUCGAUACCCAAUGAGUAUCUGGACUUAAGCACUUAUGGCACGGUGAACUCCUGGAAAUGUGGCAUUGUGGGGGCCUGAGUCUUCUCUCAGGAAGUAAGAAACAGAGUGCUCAGUGAGGCGAGCAAGAAAACUGAGUCAAAUUUAAGACAACUCAGCACUUUGUCCCCUGAAAUGUACUAAACCCCAAAUGUCCUCGUGUGCAUCCAAUAGAAUGAGACUGUUUGAUGUUAUUGCUGAAGACAAUGAAUGGCAGCGUGCAGUCACUGGGUUCACAUCACUCCAGUCUAUUUAAUCUCUUGUUUACAGAGGAGGAAGAGGAGGCCCUCUUCUCACUUAUCCUCAGCAUUUGGCAUCAACAUCAGCCUGAAUCAUUUUGUUAGCUAAAAGCUGUACAAAAAUAUCGUCAUUCUUCAACACUUGGAGCGAAGCUUGUUGAACUUCUGCCUUCACUUUGAAACCUUCGCUCCAGCUCUGGUACCGCUUCAUAUUUUUCAUUCACUGUACAAAGUUUAUGCAACGAAGAAAACUGAAGAUGAAUUAUUUGGAAAAGAAAAGUCGGCCAUAACCAGUUUUUCACCUGGAAAUUAUACCUCAGGGAUUUUGUUUUCAUCGACAGCCCUUUCACAUAAUCGUUCUCACCUUGUAGGCUGUCGAUGUACUGAUGGAAGAGUCAGGAUUGGUUGUACAGGUGGGAGAAAUAUGAGAACGUGGGCCACUGUUUAAAGAAAACAGAAGUCUAAAAACGUUACUUUUUUAUUGUAUUUUUAAGAAGUUGUGCUUUCACAAAAAGUUGGAUUUUAAGGGGAAAAAGUCAUGUUUUAAGAAAAAGUCACGUUAGAAUCUCAUAGAAUUUUACAAUUGUGAGCAAAAAAACAUAUAUACAUAUGAUCAGUUUAUUAGGUACACUCUGCUGGUGCUGGGUUGCACUCUUACAUCAUCCAGCUGCCGCCCCACAGUGGACGCUGUGGAGUGAACUCGAGAAAGCAGUCUGAGGUGAUUUGAGGUUUGUGGCAUGGUGUGAUAACCUGCAGCCAUCAGAAGAUGAUUAAACCAGGUCAGCAGCAGUACUCAGGAAGGCUGUGGUGUUUAAACGAUGCUCAGUUGGUACUUAGGGCUCCACAGUGUGCCACCAAAAGAACGCCCACACUUUAAUACCGGCACACAGAGCCUGGCCCACUGCUGCAGGCCACGACGGCUCCAUGCUGUCACUGUGGUGAAAUUCGGACACUAUCAUCUGUAUAUUGUAGCAGAAAUAAAGACUCAUCAGGGUGUUUUUGCAAACUUCUGUCGUCCAGGUUUGGUGAGUGAACCGUAGCCUGCUGUACUUGGCUGAGCAGCACCUGGUCUAGUCUCCUGCUGCUGCUAACGUGUCGUGUGUUUUCUCCUUUUUCAGACCGUUCUCUGUUAACCUAGAUACGGUCGUGGAGGAAAGUCUUGUGAUUGGCUGUUAAUGAGCCGUCAAACAGGUGUACCAAAUGAAGUGGUCAGUGAGUGUAUGUUUAUUGUGACAUAUUCUUCACCUAAAGCAGAGAAUAUGACUUCAUUCUCAAAAACAACUUGUAAACCACGAUGAUGUUCGUUGUUUUCCCCUUUAAAUGCUACAGUGUGUGGUCAGCGGCUCCAUUCCUGUCACACUCUCUACAAAUGAUUUCAUUUUUUGCAUUAGAGCAGGUCUAACCAUGGCUCUGAUAAAGUUUUGACACAGCACUUAUAUUUUAAAUUGAAGUGAGUUGCAGUGAAAAGAAUCAGAGGCUCAUUUAAGUGAGACAUGAUGCACUUGAUUGGAUGUGUGUGUUUACUGUGUUUGUGGGGGAGGAGCUUCUCCUCCUUUAUGUUCUCAUCACCUUUCAUCUGUAAAUGGUCGACAUAUGCAUUCUCCCCUCUGUGGUCUUUGAAUAAAUACUCAUUACCACGA
ensembl:lncRNA